UGCCAGCCGCCGCGGUAAUACGGAGGGGGCGAGCGUUGUUCGGAAUUAUUGGGCGUAAAGGGCGCGUAGGCGGCCUGGUAAGUCAGACGUGAAAUCCCGCGGCUCAACCGCGGAACUGCGUUUGAAACUGCCAGGCUUGAGUCCCGGAGAGGGUAGUGGAAUUCCUAGUGUAGCGGUGAAAUGCGUAGAUAUUAGGAGGAACACCAGUGGCGAAGGCAACUACCUGGACGGGUACUGACGCUGAGGCGCGAAGGCGUGGGUAGCGAACGGGAUUAGAUA
rnacentral:rRNA from 1 species